UACGUGGGACCCAAGCGUUAUCCGGAAUUACUGGGCGUAAAGAGUUGCGUAGGUGGCAGAGUAAGUAGGUGAUGAAAGCGUCCCGCUCAACGGGAUAUACAUCAUCUAAACUGCUCAGCUUGAGGAUGAGAGAGGUUAUUGGAAUUUCUAGUGUAGGAGUGAAAUCCGUAGAUAUUAGAAGGAACACCGAUGGCGUAGGCAGAUAACUGGCUCAUUCCUGACACUAAGGCACGAAAGCGUGGGGAGCGAACGGG
rnacentral:rRNA from 1 species